UGGGGAUGUGAUGGAAUGGUAGACAUAACAGACUUAAAAUCUGUUGAUUUUUUAAGAUCGUGAGGGUUCAAGUCCCUCUAUCCCCAU
rnacentral:tRNA from 1 species